UACGGGGGGGGCAAGCGUUGUUCGGAAUUACUGGGCGUAAAGGGCUCGUAGGCGGCUUAUCAAGUCAGGCGUGAAAUUCCCGGGCUCAACCUGGGGGCUGCGCUUGAUACUGAUGAGCUUGAAUGCGGGAGAGGAUAGUGGAAUUCCCAGUGUAGAGGUGAAAUGCGUAGAUAUCUGGAGGAACACCGGUGGCGAAGGCGGCAUCCUGGACCGAUACUGACGCUGAGGAGCGAAAGCCAGGGGAGCAAACGGG
rnacentral:rRNA from 1 species